GGGUCAGUAGGUUGGUCGUGCCACCGGUACGUACUGGUCUCACUGAUUCCUCCUUCCUGAAGAGCCGUAAUGCCAUUAAUUUGGUGUUGCGGGGAAACAGGGCUGUUACUUUGAAAAAAUUAGAGUGUUUAAAGCAAGCUAACGCUUGAAUACAUUAGCAUGGAAUAAUGAAAUAGGACGAUCGAUCCUAUUUUGUUGGUUUCUAGGAUUGACGUA
rnacentral:rRNA from 1 species